rnacentral:rRNA from 1 species
CCUACGGGUGGCAGCAGUGGGGGAUCUUGCACAAUGGGGGAAACCCUGAUGCAGCGACGCCGCGUGUGGGAAGACGGUCCUCUGGUUUGUAAACCACUGUCCCCAGGGACGAAGAUGGCGGUAGCUGGGGAGGAAGCUCCGGCUAACUACGUGCCAGCAGUCGCGGUAAUACGUAGGGAGCGAGCGUUGUCCGGAAUUACUGGGGGUAAAGGGAGCGUAGGCGGGGAUGCAAGUUGGGGGUCAAAACUACCGGCUCAACUGGUAGUCGCACUCAAAACUGCAGCUCUUGAGUGAAGUAGAGGCAGGCGGAAUUCCUAGUGUAGCGGUGAAAUGCGUAGAUAUUAGGAGGAACACCAGUGGCGAAGGCGGCCCGCUGGGCUGUUACUGACGCUGAGGCUCGAAAGUGUGGGGAGCAAACAGGAUUAGAUACCCCUGUAGUC